rnacentral:rRNA from 1 species
GAUGAACGCUAGCGGAACGCCUAACACAUGCAAGUCGAACGAGAAUCUAUCUUCGGAUAGAGGAAAGUGGCGAACGGGCGAGUAACGCGUGUCUAACCUGCCCCAGAGUAGUUGACAACUAUGGAGACAUAGCUAAUCAACUAUACGCCCCUAUGAAUGAGAAUAGUAGGGGGAAAGAUUUAUCGCUCAGGGAGGGGGAUGCGUCCUAUCAGUUAGUUGGUGAGGUAACGGCUCACCAAGACUAUGACGGGUAGCCGGUCUGAGAGGAUGUCCGGCCGCAAUGGAACUGAGACACGGUCCAUACUCCUACGGGAGGCAGCAGUGGGGAAUAUUGCGCAAUGGACGAAAGUCUGACGCAGCGAUUCCGCGUGGAGGAUGAAGCAUUAAGGUGUGUAAACUUCUUUUCUGGAGGAAGACGAAUGACGGUACUCCAGGAAUAAGGGACGGCUAACUACG